rnacentral:rRNA from 1 species
CAAUAGCGUAUAUUUAAGUUGUUGCAGUUAAAAAGCUCGUAGUUGGAUUUCGGUUAAGAGCGACCGGUCCGCCGUUUGGUGUGCACUGGUUGGUUUUAACUUCCUGUAGAGGACGUGCUCUGGGUUUAACGACCUGGACUCGGAGUCUACGUGGUUACUUUGAAAAAAUUAGUGUGUUCAAAGCGGGCUUACGCUUGAAUAUUUCAGCAUGGAAUAACACUAUAGGACUCCUGUCCUAUUUCGUUGGUCUCGGGACGGGAGUAAUGAUUAAGAGGAACAGUUGGGGGCAUUCGUAUUUCAUUGUCAGAGGUGAAAUUCUUGGAUUUAUGAAAGACGAACUUCUGCGAAAGCAUUUGCCAAGGAUGUUUUCAUUAA